rnacentral:rRNA from 1 species
AGGAGGCAGCAGUGGGGAAUAUUGGUCAAUGGGCGGAAGCCUGAACCAGCCAUGCCGCGUGCAGGAAGACGGCCCUACGGGUUGUAAACUGCUUUUCCGGGGGAAGAAUAAGGGCGACGAGUCGCCCGAUGCCGGUACCCCGGGAAUAAGGAUCGGCUAACUCCGUGCCAGCAGCCGCGGUAAUACGGAGGAUCCGAGCGUUAUCCGGAUUUACUGGGUUUAAAGGGUGCGUAGGCGGGCGCUUAAGUCAGCGGUGAAAUACGGGGGCUCAACCUUCGAACGGCCGUUGAUACUGGGCGCCUUGGAUUCGGUCGAGGCGGGCGGAAUGCGACAUGUAGCGGUGAAAUGCUUAGAUAUGUCGCAGAACGCCGAUUGCGAAGGCAGCUCGCCAGGCCGACAUUGACGCUGAGGCACGAAAGCGUGGGGAUCGAACAGGAUUAGAUACCCGGGU